rnacentral:rRNA from 1 species
UAUUGGUCAAUGGAGGAAACUCUGAACCAGCAACGCCGCGUGAAUGAUGAAGGUCUUCGGAUUGUAAAGUUCUUUUCUAAGGGAAGAAGAUAGUGACGGUACCUUAGGAAUAAGCUUCGGCUAACUACGUGCCAGCAUCCGUGGUAAUACGUAGGAGGCAAGCGUUAUCCGGAACGACUGGGCGUAAAGGGUGCGUAGGUGGUUUGGCAAGUUAGUAGCGUAACCCCGGGGCUCAACCUCGGAACUACUACUAAAACUGUCGGACUUGAGUGUAGGAGGGGCAAUUGGAAUUCCUAGUGUAGCGGUGGAAUGCGUAGAUAUUAGGAGGAACACCAGUGGCGAAGGCGAAUUGCUGGACUAUAACUGACACUGAGGCACGAAAGCGUGGGGAGCAAACAG